AUGCUCAUUUCAGCAGCACAUGUACUAAAAUUGGAAUGAUACAGAGAUUAGCAUGGCCCCUGUGCAAGGAUGACCUGCAAAUUCAUGAACUGUUCCAUAUUUUU
rnacentral:snRNA from 1 species